GACGAACGCUGGCGGCGUGCUUAACACAUGCAAGUCGAACGGAAAGGCCCUGCUUUUGUGGGGUGCUCGAGUGGCGAACGGGUGAGUAACACGUGAGUAACCUGCCCUUGACUUUGGGAUAACUUCAGGAAACUGGGGCUAAUACCGGAUAGGAGCUCCUGCUGCAUGGUGGGGGUUGGAAAGUUUCGGCGGUUGGGGAUGGACUCGCGGCUUAUCAGCUUGUUGGUGGGGUAGUGGCUUACCAAGGCUUUGACGGGUAGCCGGCCUGAGAGGGUGACCGGCCACAUUGGGACUGAGAUACGGCCCAGACGCCUACGGGAGGCAGCAGUGGGGAAUAUUGCACAAUGGGCGGAAGCCUGAUGCAGCAACGCCGCGUGCGGGAUGACGGCCUUCGGGUUGUAAACCGCGUUCGCCUGUGACGAAGCGUGAGUGACGGUAAUGGGUAAAGAAGCACCGGCUAACUACGCG
rnacentral:rRNA from 1 species